rnacentral:rRNA from 1 species
UACAGAGGUGGCAAGCGUUGUUCGGAAUUACUGGGCGUAAAGGGCGCGUAGGCGGUCUGGUCAGUCCCUUGUGAAAUCCCCCGGCUCAACUGGGAGAGGUCCUUGGAUACUGGCAGACUUGAGGGAGGUAGAGGAGAGUGGAAUUCCCGGUGUAGUGGUGAUAUGCGUAGAUAUCGGGAGGAACACCAGUGGCGAAGGCGGCUCUCUGGGCCUUACCUGACGCUGAGACGCGAAAGCGUGGGGAGCGAACCGG